rnacentral:rRNA from 1 species
GACGAACGCUGGCGGCGUGCUUAACACAUGCAAGUCGAACGAUGAAGCUAGAGCUUGCUCUGGUGAAUUAGUGGCGAACGGGUGAGUAACACGUGAGUAACCUGCCCCGAACUCUGGGAUAACUGCUGGAAACGGUAGCUAAUACUGGAUACGACCUACGAAGGCAUCUUCUGUAGGUGGAAAGAAUUUCGGUUCGGGAUGGACUCGCGGCCUAUCAGCUUGUUGGUGAGGUAAUGGCUCACCAAGGCGACGACGGGUAGCCGGCCUGGGAGGGUGACCGGCCACGCUGGGACUGAGACACGGCCCAGUCUCCAACGGGAGGCAGCAGUGGGGAAUAUUGCACAAUGGGCGCAAGCCUGAUGCAGCAACGCCGCGUGAGGGAUGACGGCCUUCGGGUUGUAAACCUCUUUUAGUAGGGAAGAAGCGAAAGUGACGGUACCUGCAGAAAAAGCACCGGCUAACUACGUGCCAGCCGCCGCCGUAA